ensembl:antisense
UAGUGUCCACUUUGUUUUAUCUGGAAAGAGUUGGGUAAGGAGGCGGGGGACAACGCUGGUGUCUACACAGCCAAGAGGGAACAUUCACACACAGAGAAUGACGGGGGUCCCUUACCACACGGGAGUGUCCUCUUCAUAUUAAAAUAUGGAAUGCUUUUCUUCAAAUAUCCACCUUUUUUUGGAGAGGGAGGCUUUGCAGAGAGGUCUCAGCGCAUCCAUUUUCUAAGAUCCUCUCCUCACUCAACAAGAAUCUUGGGCCCUUGAAGGCGCCUCGGAGCUGGGAAGCGGCGAAUGGACUCUCGGAGGGGUGUGCACAGACAGUGGCCGCGGAAGCUCCCGGGUGGCAGCGGCGACGGUUCUCUUGGGCUGGACGCGGUGAGGGGAGCAAGCCGAUUUUCCC